UACGAAGGGGGCUAGCGUUGUUCGGAAUCACUGGGCGUAAAGGGCGCGUAGGCGGCUUUAUAAGUCGGGGGUGAAAGCCUGUGGCUCAACCACAGAAUUGCCUUCGAUACUGUAGAGCUUGAGACCGGAAGAGGUAAGUGGAACUGCGAGUGUAGAGGUGAAAUUCGUAGAUAUUCGCAAGAACACCGGUGGCGAAGGCGGGUCUCUGGACAGUUCCUGACGCUGAGGCACGAAGGCCAGGGGAGCAAACGGG
rnacentral:rRNA from 1 species